rnacentral:lncRNA from 1 species
CCCAAGAAAACUUCAAAUGGUAGGAGAAGGUAUCAGUAAAGAUGACUCUCACUGCGUCUAUUGAAUAGUUCAAAUCCAAUUCAUCCAUGCUUUUUUCAUCAGGCCACCCCAUGAUUGUUCUUCCUGCCAUGUGAAGAAAAACCUAAGCCUUCCAGACACCAUGAUGGCCACACGGUCACACAAGGCUUCCGCCUCAGCCAGGUUAUGGGUGGUCAGGAGGACACCUCUCUCUGUGUUUUUAACGACUGCCUGGAUUGCCUGCCUGC